rnacentral:rRNA from 1 species
CACGGGGGGAGCAAGCGUUGUUCGGAAUUACUGGGCGUAAAGCGUGCGCAGGCGGUUCGCUGUGUCCGAUGUGAAAGCCCCGGGCUUAACCUGGGAAUGGCAUUGGAAACUGGCGGGCUUGAGUGCGGCAGAGGGGGGUGGAAUUCCGCGUGUAGCAGUGAAAUGCGUAGAUAUGCGGAGGAACACCGAUGGCGAAGGCAAUCCCCUGGGCCUGCACUGACGCUCAUGCACGAAAGCGUGGGGAGCAAACAGG